UGGAAGCGUCUGGAAAGGCGUGCGAUACAGGGUGACAGCCCCGUACACAAAAAUGCACAUAUUGUGAGCUUGAUGAGUAGGGCGGGACACGUGGUAUCCUGUCUGAAUAUGGGGGGACCAUCCUCCAAGGCUAAAUACUCCUGACUGACCGAUAGUGAACCAGUACCGUGAGGGAAAGGCGAAAAGAACCCCGGCGAGGGGAGUGAAAAAGAACCUGAAACCGUGUACGUACAAGCAGUGGGAGCACGCUUAGGCGUGUGACUGCGUACCUUUUGUAUAAUGGGUCAGCGACUUAUAUUCUGUAGCAAGGUUAACCGAAUAGGGGAGCCGAAGGGAAACCGAGUCUUAACUGGGCGUUAAGUUGCAGGGUAUAGACCCGAAACCCGGUGAUCUAGCCAUGGGCAGGUUGAAGGUUGGGUAACACUAACUGGAGGACCGAACCGACUAAUGUUGAAAAAUUAGCGGAUGACUUGUGGCUGGGGGUGAAAGGCCAAUCAAACCGGGAGAUAGCUGGUUCUCCCCGAAAGCUAUUUAGGUAGCGCCUCGUGAAUUCAUCUCCGGGGGUAGAGCACUGUUUCGGCA
rnacentral:rRNA from 1 species